rnacentral:lncRNA from 1 species
CAAGCCAUCCGACUCUCCAAAUUAGCCUCCUUUCUAAUCAAAUUUGGCUAGCCACUCUGGCUAGCCAAGCUAACUUGUCUGUUGAAAUGAAAUGCUACAUAUAGAAUAUAAUCUUUAUGAAAAAUUAAAUAGAGAGUUAAAUAGAAAGUAAAAAAUAAAGAGUUCCUUGGAGAUGCCGUAAGACCGUCUUCAAUAGAGCGUGUAAAAUAUGGGACGUGAAACUAUAGAUAAUAAUGUUUGACCUGUUUGUAGAGAGAAAUUUAAAAUAGAAAAUGAGAUAUGAGAUAUAACAGGGAACCCACUGGAGCGCUAGCGCUAGCGCUGAUUGUUGUCCCAAGAAAACACUAAACAAUAACUUGGGUUCGGAUAUAUAUAACACUGCACAAUAAUUUAGGUUCACGUAUGCCCGAAUAUGAGAAAACCAACAAAAUAGACAAGAUUUUGCUGGUGAGAAAAAAAAAAUAUAAUCAAUCACACAGCUACCAAAUAUCAAACAGAUAAAUAUAAGAUAAACACGCAUACAUACCACGGACCGCACAACCAGUGAGAAAACCACCUAUUUGCUAUCAGUAUAUACCCAAUUUGCAUUCUUUACGGGUGCCACUCGUUUGACUGAUGGGUAUUUCAGCUAUGUGUAGUUUGGAAUAGUUCGUGUUCGGGUACCAGGUGUCGUGCCGGACCCUAGAAAAGGCUAUGGUGCCAUCCAUCCAUCCAUCAGCGUCUACCGUCGCCGUUGCUUUUGAGCAACGCACUGAAUGGAUCCCAAGGCUCGAUAGCCAUGCCUACUACGAGUCCGAGGUAGCUAGGAAUCCUACCAGGAUACCGACAUCGGAACAACUCAAAAGCGCUCCUGCUUUCAGAGACAGGCGUGGAUUCUGCAGCCAACUCAUUGCCUACGCAAGAAUUCAACCCCCAACUGUCCUAGUAUGAGACUCUUCUCCAGCCACAUGUUCCUUUCAGUUUUAUAUUGGGCGGAAUUUGAUGCUGCAAAAGAAUCCACGGUACUCUUGAUGGACUUCACAACACAAAAUAUAACAUCCUAUCUCCAUAAAAAGGGGGGGAAGAAAAACAACAUAACAUGCAAGCUACUUGCAUAUACAAGUAAUAAUAAAAACAACAUAACAUGCACGCUACUUGUGCCGUUGCCAUGCCAUGACAUGCCAUGUAGCAGCAGUCAUAACAUGUAGCUCGGUUCAGAACCCUAUAUAUCAUCAGGCAGACACGCCAAAUAUGCUACACGGCAUCGCAAACAGUCCAAGUAUCAUCAAGCACUAGUUCCUCUCUUAAUCACACAGUUCUCUAGCACAAACAGAUGCGUACAACACUUGAUGUAUGUGUUUUAGAUAAUUAACAGAUUUAAACGAAUACUAUUUUGAUACGGAGUGAGUACAAUCUUAGAGGAUUAUGCGACACGGUUUCAACUUACAAUAGAAGUGUGCUACAAUAUCAAGUCAUCAACAGUAUUAAAAAACACACACAAACAACCCAGGAUGAACUAGAUGGUUAUGUAAUUAAAUAAGAAGAAAUAGGCAUCCAAAUCGAAGUGGGUGUGACAAAGACCUGGAUGUGGAUGUACAGUGUACACCCACGCCUCCCACACGGUCCCACCAACUGAGCCUAGCUCAAUUUCUUCCUAGAGACACUAGUGGUUUAGACAGGCAACAUAGAGCAAUAAUCAUAGCAAACUUUUGUUUAAGAAACUGUGGCCUUCAGUUUGCUUAUGUAACUCUACUUGGAAAAAUCAAUCCUGUAGAAACUACAGGCUAGGAGUGCCAGGCACAAAACAAGCCAAAACCUGGAGGCCAAAUAUUCAAACGUUCCAAGACUAAUUGUGAUCCAACACCACAUCUAAUUCUGUAAGAGGGCUGAACCAGAUCUAGGAGCUAGCCCUUAACCAUCCAUAUUCAUAGAAAGAAUUUCAAUCGACCAAGUUACAGCAAAUCCAAACCCCAUGCUGCUUCAAUACUCGAUCCCAAAGCUUGGACAAAAGGUUUCUCUAAACUUGCUAGGACGAUACCAGGUGUUUGGUGUGGCUUUCAAAACUUUUGGGGAUAGAGAAAUUUGUGUCAAAGGUUAAUUUGGGCACAAACCAAACACACAUGUGACAAGCUAGGCUGGAGAAAUCUAAUGAGUAAAAGUUCUUGCAAAGAAACUAGAGCCAGAUUAAUUCUGUGGAGACGUCAAGAUAAUUCACAUCACCUAAUACAUCGAUUCCCAGAUCUAUUUCUCCUAUGGCGCGAUUAAUUAGUUGUAAGUUCAAACUACCAGCUAAACACUGAAAAGGUAAUUCUACUGAAGGAAACCUGGUACCAAAAGCUAUAAAUCUAGACCUAAUUGUAGUGAAGGAAGCUUGAAUAAACACGUAAGUUUUGGAUCAAAAGUUACACAUCCAAGUGAACAACCUCACAGGAAACUAGAACAGAAAUAUGUAUCAUUGGUAUCAAUGACGACAAUGAACUAUAGACACCCACAGCAAGUAGAUGGUUUUAAGCUCAUCAGUUUUCAAUAUAUUAUGGUACAGUACAAACAAGAUGCUGUUCUUAUCCUAUAUUCAAGAACAUCCCCGCACAUUCACAAUUAGGGAAAAAUCAUAUAAUCAAACUUCAAGAGUUAUCCAGUUUAUGUGCACUGUCUAAGAUUCAUGUUGUCAAUUGACAAGCAUUAAACAUCACAUCCAGGAAAAGAACAUAACACUGAUACAAUAGGAAGUUUGUGAAAUGAAGAGGCAGAGGCUGUAAAAUUUCAACCGAUAAUAAUGCAUGCUCCAGAGGAGGACAAUGUCAUCUGAUAUAACAAACUGCAAGUCAUGAUGGAAGGAAGAACAAAGAAGAGAUGGAAGGACUAAGGAGCAAGGAAGGGACUUGUGGUCCUACACCUACUACAUACAGCCAUACAAAACCUUAUUCUAAAACAAAAUAUAGAACCUCUUAAGGGCUUGUUCGGUUGCGUCUAAAUUGAAGGGAAUUGGAGGGGACUAAAUCCCUCUCUAGUCAAAAUUGAAUAGAAGAUCCCCUUCGAUCCAGACCCAAGCGAACAAGGCUAAGGCCUUGUUCGUUUACAUCGGAUUGCACCCGGAAUCGUUCCGGCUAAUCAAAGUUAAUAUAAAUUAAAGAAGCAAUCCGGCUCGGAAUCGUUCCGACCCACCAAUCCGACACAAACGAACAAGGCCUAAACAGGAAAGAAACCCAUACGGUCAAAGCUAGACAUAUAACCUUGCAAAUCACAUGAAUGUUAUUCCUUGGAACUGAUCACAAAAAAUACUUGACCAAGUGUUGUACACGAGCCUUGUUAUGUGUUAGACCAACGUAUUUGCUAAUUCAUGACAAAACUUGAUCAGCAAAAAACUCAUACUAACAAAAUUUAUAUCAUUAAACUCUAUCCUACAACUAGUGUGAUACAAUUAAAUCAUUUGCAAAUUACUGAGAAUCAGCCAUGUCCUUUGGCCCUGUAAGGUAGUAAUGUGAAAGUGUGAUGCAACCAAGCGAUUUAAACUCUAAAGGUCACUAGGGAUCAUUAUUUUCCAUACGAAAGAAGUCAAUGAAGCAAACUAGUUGGCACAUGACUAAGGUCAGUAGUGAUUAUUAUUCAAACAACUUGUGCAUCACACUCAAGAAAAUGCCCUACACCUUUGUACAUUUUAGGCCUUAUUCGGUUGCAUGAGGAUUGAGGGGUUGAAUCAUUCAAUUUUGAGUAGGAAGGGAUUUAAUCCCCUUCAAUUCACCCCUAACCGAACAAGCCCUUAAUGGUCUGAACAAGAAUAUCAGAAGAUUUGGAUAAACCACCUAAUUGUUGAGGAAGUGUUAAACACCUCUGCACGCCUAAGAAGAUGAACCGAACUUUCAACAUAUUGAACCUGUAAGUAGUAGUGUGAACGUGUGAUACAACUAAGUGAUCAUUAUUUUCCAGAUGAAAGAAGCUAAAUUAAGCAGACUAGUGGGCACAUGAUUCGUCAGCAGUGAUCAUUACUCAAACAGCUUGCGCUUCACGCUCAAGAAAAUUCUCUGUGCCUUUGUACAUUGUGUAAUGAUUUGACACAAGAACAUCAGAAGAAUUGGAUGAGCCACCUAAUUAUUGAGAAAGCCCUGUACAUCUUUGCAUGCAAAUAAGAUGAACUAAACAUGUCAUAUUUUGAAUAAAGAGAAUUGUCUCACUAACCCAUGCACAUUCUUUUAGUUUCGUUAACUAGUCAGAUAAGAGCAACUCUAAAAGAAAAUGCAGACUUACCCCAAAACAAAUAUCAGGAAAGAACUGUUUUUUCUUGCUCCAAUAGUUCCCUUAUCUUCUUCCUAAAAAUUCCACAUCCUGCAUCGACGUCCUCCACUCCCGCAUAUUUGUGGGUGAGCGUUCCUCCCCAAUAUCUGUUUUAUCGUGCUUGGGAUGGUAAAACAGACGGCUUCAGCCCGGCGGCCGUUUCAACCUGGCAUGCAGCACAUGCAGAUUGUUGCUGCUUCCCACGUCAAAAAACAAAAAAAAAAACAAAAUACAAAGGUCCAUCGUUGAAAACCCAUACGCAGGUGCAAAGAGGCCUGCCUGGAAGAUGUUUUUUUUAAAAAAAAAUUUGAACCCGGUUUUUCAGUUUUUGUUUAAGGGAAUUGUUGGGGUAGACACAAUAUGACAAUAAUUUACCUAUAAAAGUUUUUAGCUGUCCUUAAUAAUCAUUUUUUUGGUGGAAAUAGUUUAGUAUCCUUUUAGAGUUGCUCUAAACUACUUAGUUCUCAAUUUCAUACAUAGAACACACAAAAGUUAAACUGACCACAGACCUGUACUGUCAGAGUGCAUAACAACUAAGGGGGUGUUUGGUUGCUCCUGCUAAAGUUUAGCCCGGGUCACAUCAAACGUUUGACUUUUAAAUAGGAGUAUGAAAUAUAGACCCAACCAACUGGACUAGAUUCGUCUCGUCUUUUAAUCUUCGGCUGACAAAUUAGUUUUAUAAUCCGACUACAUUUAAUACCCGGAACGGAGGUUCAAACAUUCGAUGGGACAGGGGCUAAAUUUUAGCGGGGUGUAACCAAACACCCCCUAAUGAUGACAUGCAAGAAAAAAACAUUGAAAAAGACGCCAAUUUAUCUGCAACCUUACCAAAGCAAAGCGUCCUGAGCCAAGGUAUUUACUGCCAUAAUGAAAUAAACCAGCCUGUACUCAAGAAAGACGCACAAAUCGCAUUAUUGCAGAAAAUGCGCAAGUAGCUCAACACGGUCAUUGGCAAAAAAAAAAAGGCCUCUACCUGUGUUGGUUAGAUGGUCCGAGUAGCACUUUUUAGGUGUUAAGUUUGACUUUCCGUAUGAGCAAAUUUUAGGCCACGCGAGAGAGUUCGACUCCUCGUGGGAGUGAAUUUUAGGCUGGGGUUAAAAAACAUUUUUCAUUUGUCCCACGUCAAAGCACAUGGCCUGGUUACAAUACGUUCUUGAUGUAAUGUUUAAGGACUGUCUUACCACGGCCGGUUGAGUUUUUUUUUUACAACGCAGCCAUUGCACUGAUACUAAUGUUGCCUGCACAGAUACAAGUAUAGUGAGUAACCUGGAGAUUGUCUGGUGUCGCUUUAUUCUCUUUUCUUCUGAAACUGAGGUGUCACUUCGUUUUCGAACAGCACUCCAUUUCGUUCCUUUGUAACAUGGUGGUUGUCUGGGGUAGACUUUCUCUGAAACUGAAAUGCAGUUAACAUGCUUUACAUGUGUGCUGGUAACGUGUAGACAUCUUUCCUGUUCCUGAAUAAUGCGACUGUGAUGGCCUGGGGUAUCGUCCUUGUAACCCUUAAACAAAGAGACGAAGUAUACAGCAGAUAAUAAGAUUCGAAGAAGCAUCUGUUAAUUGCAAUGGCAGUAUGGCAGCCACGGCCACAGGGAAGGAGGAGCGAGGAUUUUACCUACAAACAGUGGGGUCCGCGUGACGCCAGUGCGUGGGCACAGAAACACCCGCUUACUGCAGAAGAACGGGACCACGGAUGGUUAAAGCGGAGACAGCGAACUUCGGGAGACGGCCAGGGAAGGGUAAGGAAGUAGGGCCGGCGGCGGCGCCGGCGCGGCGGUGGGUUGCGUUUGCGUGCCUACAGAGAUGGGCCAUCGGGCAGCAAGGCCAGGAGGACAGGAAGAGG